UACAUGGGGUGCAAACGUUGCUCGGAAUCACUGGGCGUAAAGCGCACGUAGGCGGAUUCUUAAGUCAGAGGUGAAAUCCUGGAGCUCAACUCCAGAACUGCCUUUGAUACUGGGGACCUUGAGUCCGGGAGAGGUGAGUGGAACUGCGAGUGUAGAGGUGAAAUUCGUAGAUAUUCGCAAGAACACCAGUGGCGAAGGCGGCUCACUGGCCCGGUACUGACGCUGAGGUGCGAAAGCGUGGGGAGCAAACAGG
rnacentral:rRNA from 1 species